rnacentral:rRNA from 1 species
CGUACAGGUCUCCGUAGGUGAACCUGCGGAGGGAUCAUUACACAAAUAUGAAGGCGGGCUGGAACCUCUCGGGGUUACAGCCUUGCUGAAUUAUUCACCCUUGUCUUUUGCGUACUUCUUGUUUCCUUGGUGGGUUCGCCCACCACUAGGACAAACAUAAACCUUUUGUAAUUGCAAUCAGCGUCAGUAACAAAUUAAUAAUUACAACUUUCAACAACGGAUCUCUUGGUUCUGGCAUCGAUGAAGAACGCAGCGAAAUGCGAUAAGUAGUGUGAAUUGCAUAAUUCAGUGAAUCAUCGAAUCUUUGAACGCACAUUGCGCCCUUUGGUAUUCCAAAGGGCAUGCCUGUUCGAGCGUCAUUUGUACCCUCAAGCUUUGCUUGGUGUUGGGCGUCUUGUCUCUAGCUUUGCUGGAGACUCGCCUUAAAGUAAUUGGCAGCCGGCCUACUGGUUUCGGAGCGCAGCACAAGUCGCACUCUCUAUCAGCAAAGGUCUAGCAUCCAUUAAGCCUUUUUUUUCAACUUUUGACCUCGGAUCAGGUAGGGAUACCCGCUGAACUA